rnacentral:rRNA from 1 species
GUGCCAGCAGCCGCGGUAAUACGUAGGGUGCGAGCGUUGUCCGGAUUUAUUGGGCGUAAAGGGCUCGUAGGUGGUUGAUGGCGUCGGAAGUGUAAUCUUGGGGCUUAACCCUGAGCGUGCUUUCGAUACGGGUUGACUUGAGGAAGGUAGGGGAGAAUGGAAUUCCUGGUGGAGCGGUGGAAUGCGCAGAUAUCAGGAGGAACACCAGUGGCGAAGGCGGUUCUCUUGGCCUUUCCUGACGCUGAGGAGCGAAAGCGUGGGGAGCGAACAGGCUUAGAUACCCUGGUAGUCCACGCUGUAAACGGUGGGUACUAGGUGUGGGGUCCAUUCCACGGGUUCCGUGCCGUAGCUAACGCUUUAAGUACCCCGCCUGGGGAGUACGGCCGCAAGGCUAAAACUCAACGCAAUUGACGGGGCCCCGCACAAGCGGCGGAGCAUGCGGAUUAAUUCGAUGCAACGCGUAGAACCUUACCUGGGUUUGACAUGGAUCGGGAGUGCUCAGAGAUGGGUGUGCCUCUUUUGGGGUCGGUUCACAGGUGGUGCAUGGCUGUCGUCAGCUCGUGUCGUGAGAUGUUGGGUUAAGUCCCGCAACGAGCGCAACCCUUGUUCACUGUUGCCAGCACGUUAUGGUGGGGACUCAGUGGAGACCGCCGGGGUCAACUCGGAGGAAGGUGGGGAUGACGUCAAGUCUUCAUGCCCCUUAUGUCCAGGGCUUCACGCAUGCUACAAUGGCUGGUACAGAGAGUGGCGAGCCUGUGAGGGUGAGCGAAUCUCGGAAAGCCGGUCUCAGUUCGGAUUGGGGUCUGCAACUCGACCUCAUGAAGUCGGAGUCGCUAGUAAUCGCAGAUCAGCAACGCUGCGGUGAAUACGUUCCCGGGG